UUGCUUUGGCAGCAAACGUACUAAAAUUGAAACAAUACAGAGAAGAUUAGCAUGGCCCCUGUGCAGAGAUGACACUCAAAUUGUGAAGUGUUCCGUAUUUUU
rnacentral:snRNA from 1 species